rnacentral:misc_RNA from 1 species
CACGAACCGUACGAACGUUAUUGGGAAUUACUGGGCUGAAAGAGUGCGUAGGCGGCGCGGAAAGUUGGGUGUGAAAUCCCUCUGCUCAACCGAGGAACUGCGCUCAAAACUGCCGUGCUUGAGGGAGACAGAGGUGAGCGGAACUGAUGGUGGAGCGGUGAAAUGCGUUGAUAUCAUCAGGAACACCAGUGGCGAAGGCGGCUCACUGGGUCUCUUCUGACGCUGAGGGACGAAAGCUAGGGGAGCGAACGGG